rnacentral:rRNA from 1 species
UGCAAGUCGAACGGCAACACAGCACGGGGCAACCCGUGUGGGUGGCGAGUGGCGGACGGGUGAGUAAUGCAUGGGAAUCUACCCAGUAGCGGGGGACAACCCGGAGAAAUCCGGGCUAAUACCGCAUACGCCCUAAGGGGGAAAGCGGGGGACCGAAAGGCCUCGCACUAUUGGAUGAGCCCAUGUCGGAUUAGCUAGUUGGUAGGGUAACGGCCUACCAA